rnacentral:rRNA from 1 species
UACGUAGGUGGCAAGCGUUGUCCGGAAUUAUUGGGCGUAAAGGGCGCGUAGGUGGCGGCCCAAGUCCAUGGUGAAAGCUCGAUGCUCAACAUCGAGUCGGCCACGGAUACUGGGUUGCUCGAGCACUGUAGGGGCAGAUGGAAUUCCGGGUGCAGCGGUGGAAUGCGUAGAGAUCCGGAAGAACACCGGUGGCGAAGGCGGUCUGCUGGGCAGUUGCUGACACUGAGGCGCGACAGCGUGGGGAGCAAACAGG